rnacentral:rRNA from 12 species
GCCUCAAAUCAGGUAGGACUACCCGCUGAACUUAAGCAUAUCAAUAAGCGGAGGAAAAGAAACCAACAGGGAUUGCUCUAGUAACGGCGAGUGAAGCAGCAAUAGCUCAAAUUUGAAAUCUGGCGUCUUCGACGUCCGAGUUGUAAUUUGUAGAGGAUGCUUCUGAGUGGCCACCGACCUAAGUUCCUUGGAACAGGACGUCAUAGAGGGUGAGAAUCCCGUAUGCGGUCGGAAAGGCGCUCUAUACGUAGCUCCUUCGACGAGUCGAGUUGUUUGGGAAUGC